rnacentral:lncRNA from 1 species
GUUUCUAGAGCUCGGAGGCUGCUGGUAGGGGGGCACCACUUUCAGAUAAAAACAUAGACCUGAAUGGCAUCAUCCAGUAUCCAAGGAAACCAUGACAUUGAACCUAGAGACUCUGGGAAAUAUUUUUUUAAAUGGGAGACAUCCGUCCUUUUAGGAACUCCAUUUAUUGGACCUGGGCAUGUUCUUUUGGAAGGAUAGGAUUCAGAUAAGCGAGAGAGAGGAGACUUCCUUUGGCAGAACCUUGGACAAGCUACUGAGUGUUCCUUCUGCAGCGAAACAAUAGGAUUCUGGAUAAAACAUACUUUCUAAUGAAUUACUUGACUUCAGGAAACUUUUUUAACAACUCUAAAGAUCCUUCUUCCUUGCCUCAGAAUGAAAAAAUUAAAAAGCAUGAGGUGAAACUGCUGUUGAAGAGCAAUAAACAAACAGGAAAAGUGGGAUGGACAAUUGAAUUGUAUGGGUUGUAUUUAUUUGCAAAGAUACUGUUGGAAGUAUAGCAGUCACAUGCUCUAUUAGACUGCUCCUAAACCGAGCCUUAUUUGAAAAAAAAAAAACAAGGAGAACCAACAACCACAUUUGUAGACCCAGUUUUUUGGUGUCCUUUUUUUUUUUCCUUUUGGUAUCUUCAGUUAAGUAGCCAACCACUUUCAUAUUGUCAGAUCUGUUUUCAGGAAGAGGGCCUACUUUUGCUCAGAAACCAGUGUUCUGUGUGGAGAAAACAUGGUUCUCCAUUGAAGGAAUCCCACAAAUCUCUGAUAUCUGCAUGUUUGAGAAACUACUUUCAUUCAGACACAUGGACUGUAACUUCUGAGUCCUUAACCACCACCUCAAAUUAGUAUGUAUUUGUCUACUUUUAAGUGUAUUUAACUUUUUGUUAUGAAAAUUCAGAAUAUAUUAGAAAAGUAGAGGGAAAA